CUGUUAUCGUCCACUGGGUGAAGCACUCUCCCGAAGCCCUGGCCUCUCAAGGAGUCCUGGACGUAUUUAGUUAGAGGAGGGGUCAACCCGAGGGCGGCUGGAGUCGGCAAUGUUCCACACACCUCUGCUUCACAAGACGUAACCUGCCACCCCCUGACACCAUUCUUGGCCUCAAUGACACUAGGUUUUGGCCGCCGAGAUGCAGCCUCACUCAGCAUUACUCCCGAUACGGAGACAAAAGCACUUGCAGGCACAUACUCGAGGUAAUGGCCGCAGGAGCACCAAGGGCAACACUCACCCUCUUGCGGCAUGGCGGCGCUCAGGCCAGCCGUCGCCAGCAGCAGCAGCAGCGGCGCCACGGAACACAGGUGCAGCCCCGCCAUACUCUCGACCCCACAACGUUCAACUGGCACGCGGCUCGGGACGGCGCCGCUAUAUAGCUUUCAUCACGGCGCGGCGUUCGGCACGGGGGACUCUGGAUGUGAGAUUGCGUCUUCUGCCAACCAGUUCCUUUUUCUGGUCGGGAGGAAUGGCAUUACACUGCCAAACAGUGGACAGGAACACUAACCAACUGAUCACGGCUGCACCUCCAGCUUUGAGCAAUUCCGUAUUGUUGUUAUAAACAACAACUGCCCUUCCAUCCAUCAACCUUGCCACAGCCUCUGUAACAUCAAGAGUGUGGGCUUUGUCAAUGGGUGGGUCAGCAUUUACCCUUUGUAAGCCAGAGGGCUUACAUACCCUCCCACUCAGAGUGUGUGUCAUGCACAACAGCUCAAAAUACUGUCCCAAAGACAGAAUUACCACUAAGGAUUGUUCCAGCAUGCACUUACCUCUGUUAAGGUGUAUCCUCAACAAGCAAAAAAUAAAUUGCUUGAGGAUGCUUCCCAGUCAUAACUAACCCUUGUGUGUGUCCUGCACAGUAGGGCACAGUUGUUAAGAUCAUAGGAAAACUUUGUGAGAUGCAUAAAUAAAUAAUUGACAUGAGAUGCAUAAAUAAAUAAUUGACGUAUGUCAAUUUUUGUCAUCUAUUUUGAAGGCUUUGCUGUUACUUGGAUGUUGGUCAGGAGUCCCUUCCCUGUGCUCUUAAGCUUUCAACAAUAUUCCACCAUUGUCAUUUGUGAAACUCUGAUCUGCUAAAUCAUUUCUUUUAGAUGAAGUACUGCAUUUUCAUAAAACUAUAUUAUAAGAGUUUCAAAACCAGAGGUAAAGGAAUAGAAUUGUAUGAAUAUGAAGAACAAUGCUAUACCCAGUGAACACUAGCAUCCUCAGAGUUAAUGAUGUCGGGAAUUCCAGGUGAUUAUUAUAGAGACAGGCUGAGGGAAGGAACGAGUGAAUUUUAGCCCCCAUCUUGGGGACCACCAGGGUGGUGCAGAUGGGACACAAGCUUGUCUAGCCAGGCCCAGGGUCAACCUCUGGCAGGCUCUUAGUGUGGGUGCCUGGAACACCUCUCAGAAGAUCAUUAAGUACCCCAUCAGUCACAUGAACUCAGGAGGUUGAGUGGACAUGAUGAGGCUCUUUGGGACAAGGAAACCUGGUUAUGGAGGCAUCGGUAGAGGGGGUUAUGCUACUACUGCUCAGGCCAGAGCGCUGUUGCACGUCUCAAAGGAGUAGCUAUGGUCAUUUCUAGCCGACUGCAAUCCUGUUAUUGAGGCUACUCCGGUUGAUGAGUAUAUAACGCUGGUGAGGUUGAAGCACACCUUGGGCUUCAUAUCCCUCACUCAUAUACACCCGGCCUUACUGAAAGAUGUGUGACCUUGAUGAGAAAGAGGGGUCCUAUGCCAUGGUUGACUAUAAUCGACUGGUGCCUCUGCAUGACACUCAUCGUAUUGGGCUAAAGUUUCAGGGACCUGAGCAGCCUGGGUUCACUGCAGUGAGUCCUCCCACUCCCUACUGACUCUUCCCAUCCCCAGGUUUGUGGUUGUGUUGAGCAGCCCGAGUCAGAGCCUUGUGACACCUGGCCAGCGCGUCGAGCCUCAGGUGGAAGUCGUCAAUGGUGGAAGUGAGCAACGAGCCCUGCGUCAGCACCCGCGACAGGUGGUGGUCAAGUUGGCGGCCUCGCUGCUGCAGCCGCCCAACCUCAGCCUCAAGGACAGUGAGCCGAACCUGUGGACAAAAGCUUAGGAUUAUCACUGGCUCAUCAUAAUCAUGCAGGUGUCAUUAUUCUCAUGUGUUUGCAACCCUGUAUGGCAAUGCUUUCUUUGAGUCAAUAAAUUCAUAUUUUCAGUUGCAUGCAGAUAAAGGCAGAAUAAAAAUGAAGCCAAGUGAGACAAAUUGUGUAAGGCAUCAUGUCCAAAUGUUAUAACAAAGGAAGGAAAUACUAAUCUGAUAAUUGAUUGGUUUGAAUAAAGGAAAUAACACU